UACGAAGGGGGCUAGCGUUGCUCGGAAUUACUGGGCGUAAAGCGCACGUAGGCGGCUUUCUAAGUCGGGGGUGAAAUCCUGGAGCUCAACUCCAGAACUGCCUUCGAUACUGGAGCUUGAGUCCGGGAGAGGUGAGUGGAACUGCGAGUGUAGAGGUGAAAUUCGUAGAUAUUCGCAAGAACACCAGUGGCGAAGGCGGCUCACUGGCCCGGUACUGACGCUGAGGAGCGAAAGCUAGGGGAGCAAACGGGG
rnacentral:rRNA from 1 species